GACGAACGCUGGCGGCGCGCUUAACACAUGCAAGUCGAGCGAGAACCAGGCUUCGGCUUGGGGAAAGCGGCGAACGGGUGAGUAACACGUGGGUAACCCACCCUUGGUACCGGGAUAGCCCGAGGAAACUCGGAUUAAUACCGGAUAGCCCAACCGCCCUCCGGGGCGAUUGGAAAAGGUAGCUUCGGCCUCCGACCAAGGACGGGCCCGCGGCGGAUUAUCGGCUUGUUGGUGGGGUAACGGCCCACCAAGGCGACGAUCCGUAGCUGGUCUGAGAGGACGAGCGGGCCAACAGGGACUGAGACGCGGCCCAGACUCCUACGGGGGGCAGCAGGGGGGAAUCUUGCGCAAUGGGCGAAGGCCUGAGGCAGCGACGCCGCGUGGGGGAAGAAGGCUUUCGGGUUGUAAUCCCCUUUCAGGAGGGACGAAGCCACUCGGGUGAAUAGCCCAGAGGGUGACGGUACCUCCAGAAGAAGCCCCGGCUAACUACGUGCCAGCCGCCGCCGUAAUAC
rnacentral:rRNA from 1 species